UUUUGGGCUGACUCACAGGCUUCCUACCGCGUCGUCGUGCUGCCUCCAUUCGCCGGUAUCCCUCCGCACAUUGCUCCAUAAAAUCCCAGGCGGGCUCCGGCACUCUCCCUGGGUCGACCGACCACCUGUCUAUUUCCUCCCAGUUAGUGUAACCAGGAUCCUCAUUCUGCUGCCGAGCUAGCUCCUCAAAACGCCGCCUCUCUGCUUUCGCUGCCUCCAGCUCUGCCUUGGGGCGGCGAUAUUCCCCUGGCUGUGCCCAGGGUCCUCUCCCGUCUAGGAUUUCCUCCCACGUCCAGGAGUCUUGACAUCGCUGCUGCUGCUUUUUACCACACUGCUUGGUCCUGGUUUGGUGGGUGAUUCUGUAACGAACGUCGUAAUCCUCCUCGUCUGUGGAGGAGCAAGGAUCGGACCAAAACGCAGCGUGGUAUUUAUCCAUAUUUAUUUUAAUACUUUUAAACACGAACAAAAACAAUAAACAGAACGAAACCAACGACGCUACAGUCCUGAACUUGAGAACAUACACUGCUCAAAAAAAUAAAGGGAACACUUAAACAACACAAUGUAACUCCAAGUCAAUCACACUUCUGUGAAAUCAAACUGUCCACUUAGGAAGCAACACUGAUUGACAAUAAAUUUCACAUGCUGUUGUGCAAAUGGAAUAGACAAAAGGUGGAAAUUAUAGGCAAUUAGCAAGACACCCCCCAAAACAGGAGUGAUUCUGCAGGUGGUGACCACAGACCACUUCUCAGUUCCUAUGCUUCCUGGCUGAUGUUUUGGUCACUUUUGAAUGCUGGCGGUGCUCUCACUCUAGUGGUAGCAUGAGACGGAGUCUACAACCCACACAAGUGGCUCAGGUAGCGCAGUUCAUCCAGGAUGGCACAUCAAUGCGAACUGUGGCAAAAAGGUUUGCUGUGUCUGUCAGCGUAGUGUCCAGAGCAUGGAGGCCCUACCAGGAGACAGGCCAGUACAUCAGGAGACGUGGAGGAGGCCGUAGGAGGGCAACAACCCAGCAGCAGGACCGCUACCUCCGCCUUUGUGCAAGGAGGUGCACUGCCAGCGCCCUGCAAAAUGACCUCCAGCAGGCCACAAAUGUGCAUACACCUAGACUGAACAGCCAUAUUCAUUAGGUAGUUCGUGGGUGAUUGUCUAUGUGUAGUGUUUAGUGUCAGCACUAUUUGUUAUAUAGCUUCACGUUUGUUUGUUGUUUUGUAUAGUUUGUCAAGUGUUCUUCGUCUUCGUUUAUUAAAUAUGUAUUCAUUUCACGCUGCGCCUUGGUCCUCCUCUCUUCAAUGUUACGACGAACGUGACAUCUAGUCAAUGGAGAUCUGCAUUAAGAGGCAAUGCAUAGUCUAGGACUAGGCUUAACCCGUGUCUAUGAAACUGUUCUUAGUGUAGUAAUUGUUAAGUUGUCUUCCUUGCUGUUUAUGUAAGCUCUGUUAUGUUGGACGCAUUAUAUUAAAUUUAAACAAGGACAUAUACCUUUAAUAGAAAAGUUUAAAUCUAUAUUGCUGUAAUGAAUUUGGUGGCUGUUGCAUGUUGUGCCAGUCACUUCUGUUUGCUGGUCGUGACACAUGUUGUGAUUUUAUAGUCUAAUCAUUUUAUUUUUAUAUCCCCACGUAGGUUGUACUGAAGCCCUCUGAGCCAGUAACAAUGACACAACAUCACUGUUCAUGUGUUGCUGGCACUGUAUUAUGCAACCACAUAGUUGCAUUACUAUUCCAGUCUGCACACUAUUCCAAUAUAGGAACACCAGUCGUCCCACAUGUGCACAGCUGCACAGAGGCCAAGCAGCAGUGGCAUAAGCCAAGGACUAUGGGUCAGCAACCUGGGCCCAUAGGCAAAAUGACCAUCACCAAGCCCACCAAAAAUCGCAUGGCAGAAGGAGGGAUUAGGUGGUUUCAAGUACAUUGUUUAGAUUGGCUAACCACAGCGGCUGCUAUGCAGAAGUACACUCUACAGCGCCAUUCUUGGAAUGCUCCCUGACCUCUGUUCUCCAGAUAGAAGAGGCAUACAAUAACUUUGUCCCUCUAUCCAAGCCAUUGAUCUGCAGCAUGGGGAUGUCUGCUGAAAAGCUUUUAGUCGACUCCCACUUUGGAAAGGUACAGGUGGGGAGCCUCCUGUCUUACCAGCAGCCUCCAAUCACAACGUGACACAUAGUUCACCAUAAGGAGACACCACCAUUCCCUUCACUGCCCCUGGAUGGCUACAGACUGGAGAGCAACUUUCAAGGCUGCACAUUUAUGUUCAGUGAAGAAGACCAGCUUCACAUAGUCUCUUCAGGUGAGAGAAUACAUAGAGACCCAGUGGUGUUCUCACUAAUUAGAGAGAAGGGUUACUGGUACUACUUAUGUGUACAUGCAAAAGUUCUUAGGCAGGAAAGACUAAAUAACAAGGGACAGGCUCCUUUAUCUUUCAAUUAAUGAAAGAGAAACAAACCAACAAAUCUGUAUGUGCAAUUAAUUAAUAAAAAAUAAUUCAGUUACAUUUUUCUGUUCUCUUGUCACUGUAAAUAAAAACUCUUUAUAACAUUUUG